rnacentral:rRNA from 1 species
UACGAAGGGGGCUAGCGUUGCUCGGAAUUACUGGGCGUAAAGGGCGCGUAGGCGGCACUGUUAGUCAGGCGUGAAAGUCCUGGGCUCAACCUGGGAACUGCGCUUGAUACGGCAGAGCUAGAGGAUGGAAGAGGCUCGCGGAAUUCCCAGUGUAGAGGUGAAAUUCGUAGAUAUUGGGAGGAAUACCUAUGGCGAAAGCAGGUUUCUGGGCCAUCACUGACGCUGAGCUGCGAAAGCUAGGGGAGCGAAUGGG